CAGCAGCCGCGGUAACACGAGGGGGGCAAGCGUUGUUCAGAAUUAUUGGGCGUAAAGGGUGCGUAGGCGGCCCCGCAAGUCUCAUGUGAAAUCUUCGGGCUCAACUUGAAGUCUGCAUGGGAAACUGCGGGGCUGGAGUAUGGGAGAGGUGAGUGGAAUUCCUGGUGUAGCGGUGAAAUGCGUAGAUAUCAGGAGGAACACCUGUGGCGAAAGCGGCUCACUGGACCAUAACUGACGCUGAGGCACGAAAGCUAGGGGAGCAAACAGGAUUAGAUACCCGCGUAGUCCCUGUCUCUUAUAC
rnacentral:rRNA from 1 species